rnacentral:lncRNA from 1 species
UAAAGGGAUCUGUCAUUUGUAUACUAUAGAUGGUAUGAACAGCUCUUCAAUUUCCCAUCAUAUUUUGUCCAUGACUGCCUACGUUAAUCUUCAGUUUAUUUUGCUACUUAGACUGCAAAUUGGAACAGAAAGAUCUUAUUGAUAUUCAAUGCAAGAAAAAGUCUCAAGCGAAAAAAAUAACAGGUUUUCAGGUAAUUAAUUUCACUUUAAACGCUCUCCAUUCAGGAACUUUCUAGCAAGUAACUAUGUUUCUUUGUUCACAGUUCUCCCCGCAGAAUGCAUCGGAAGUGCUCAUUACUUCAGCUGAUUCUCAGAUUCGAGUCUAUAAUGGAACAGAGCUCGUACAAAAACUUAAAGGUAUAUAUAUCCUCGAUAUGUUCAGUUGGAAAAUCGUGAUGUAAUGAAUCCAAGUAACAACACCAUUGGUGACAGGAUUUCGAAAUACUAGCAGCCAAAUAUUAGCUCAAUUCACAGCAAAUGGAAGAUAUGUCAUAAGCGCAAGCGAAGAUUCUCAGGUCUAUAUCUGGAAACUUAAAGAUUCAAAAAAUGAAGGAGGUGGGAAAAGCAGUAGGACUACCAUCCAGACAUAUGAGCACUUCCCAUGUAAAGAUGUUUUGGCUGCAAUUGCAUGGCCUGGCAGCAUAAAAAUUGAGCCACCAAUUGUAGACAUAAAUUCCAAAAGGCAGUCCAAACACUCCAGUGCAACACAACCAUGUUCCACAAGCAGUUCUCCAACCCAAGAAGACAACAAGGCUGGUGAAAUCAGCAAGAGGCAUUUGCCUCCACUUCCUAAGAAAAGCAAAGUACUCGAGAAAAGUCCAAGCUACACGGAAGAGGACUUUGCCCAAUCUGCUCGAAUAGACUCUGAAAAUGAUAUCAAUGAGUCAUUUGGUUCAUCCUCUUCAUUGAUUAGGCAUGGUGACUCACCUUCCAUUUCUGCUUCUGGGACUGCUGGAUCUCAACCCUGGUCCUCAUCUUGGUCCUUGUUCGAUGGUAGCAGUAGCCAUGGAAGCCAAACCGUCCAAGCAACGGCAUGGGGCCUGGUCAUCAUAACAGCAAAUGUGGGAGGACAGAUCAGGGUUUAUCAAAAUUUUGGGUUGCCUCUCAAAGUCAGUAGACAAACCUAUCUCUUCCUGUCAUAGAUAUUUGCUAUAAGAUGGGAACAAAUCCCAGCAAGAAUCCUGUACUUUAGUAAACAAAAUUGUUGAUCCCAAAGGCGACGCAAGGAUUGAGAUUAAUGACAUUGUAUGAAUAUGUAAUAAGAUCAUAAAGAUAAAACAAGAUUUUAAGUAAAGAAAUCAAAGAAAGUUAAGCAGAGGAAACGAUAUUUUAUUAUAACGAUGAUAUGGAGAGAAAGUUACAACAUAGCAAUUCUGGUUUGAACUAAACUAAAAGAAGAGUUCACUAUUUAUAGGUACAUACCAUACCAUAAAGAUGGAAAUAAUAUGAAAUAAUGAUAGGGCCGGCCCUUGAGCCAAGCCACCUAGCCAACCGCCUAGAGCUUCCAAAUUUUGGCUUGGGCCCAAGGCCUCAAAAUCCAUAUUAAUUCCAAAAUGAAAAAAAUGGUUUGGGGCCUUUGGGUUUUAGGAGUCUACAUAAACAACCGUGAACUACCUCCCUCACUCCUCAAGACUUUUUAUCUUUUCAAUUUGAGAAUUAUUCCACUUCCUCUCAAAUUCAGAAAUUCUCAAAUCUCAAUCCUCUGCUUCGGUUCGGUGCUUCCAGAAUCCGGAAUUCUCUAGGGCCUCCAAGCUUCCAUUUCCACGGACCAGUGUCAAUGGACAAAAAUUCGAAAUCUACCGCGAAAACCCCCAGUUUCUCCGCCUCUCGCACUCGCAUAGUCGCACGCCAGUCUGUCCUGUGCCAGAUUCCUUUUUUUCUUUUUUUUUUAUCUUAUCAGGUCCUUGGUUUUGGUAAGCAGCCUUAUAUGUCUGAUUUAGAUUGAUUACUGAUUAAUGAUUAUUUGUUAAUUUGGCUUUGACACUAAAUUUCAUUUUCAUUUUCAUAUUCUUUUAAAAUUUAAUAUCUCAAUAUCUCACUAUGAGUCUAAUGGUUUGGUCUUAAUUUAAAUAAAAGGCAAUUUUUCUUUUUUUUUUUUUGUUUGAUUGGAUUUUAUAUAUUGUAGUUUAAUAUUUUCAUGUUAUAUGAGUGUUUAAGAAGACUCCGAUCUCCAAUUGCUUUUUAGUGAGAUUUAUAAUUUAGAAGUUCUUUUUUUUUUUUUUUUAGGUUGAAUUCUAAUUUCCAAUUGUUGUUUUUGCUGAAAGUUCUAAUUUACUAGCAGCUAGCUUUGCUUGUUAUUUUUAUUGCAUGAUAUUGUUUGUUCAUGAAACGGGCUUAUUAUAUUAAUUUGAAACAAAUAGUUCUAAAAUCACUCUUUCCAAGGCCUUUUGUAAUUAUUCGAUAAAAAAUAAAUUCAUCAAAGUGAUUUAAAAGAAUGCUUUAAAUGUUAGUAUAUAAAAUUGAAGAAGAUAGCCAAAUAUAGAUAUGAGAUCCAGACUCAUACUCAACUCUAGCUCGUUUAUGGAGGUCUUUAAUCAAGAAUGGCUAAUAUAAUAAAUCAAAUUUUUUUCUUCUUCUUUGGAGAGUGAUUUCAUAUAGAGAUUGUAAGUGAUAUUUUAUUUACCAAUUCUAUCUUUUAGAUUGUACAAAGUUUUCAUAGAAAUAUAGAUUUUUUUUUAUUUAAAUAUUGUUAUACGUGGAGAAAAACAAAGUAUGGGGCCUCAAGAUUGCCAACUCGCUUAGGGCUUCCGAAUUGUCAGGGCCGGCUCUGAAUAAUGAAAUAAUAUAUUUUCAAUAAAAUCACGUGAAAAUAAGAAAAUAAUUAUUUUUCCUAAUUUGGGUUAUAAACCUAAUAAUCUCCACUUUGACUCAAAUUCCGAUACAACGAACGAAGCUCCAAAAUUCUUUCACCUGAUAAAAUAUGUCCAACUGCAUUGAAAUAAUCAAACUCUUCAAAAUAGUAACCAAAACUCUCCCUCAGAAGAAAAAAAAAAAAACCUUCCUCUGCCCCUUGUCCAUAAGUGACAGCCGAACCCAACUCUCGAGUUCCUAAAAUUCCACUAAAGAAUUACUGUUGACCAAAUAAGGUCGAAGCACACCAUAUAGCAGAAACCACACCAUAUACAUAAUUAGAAGUCCCCUUAUUAGUAUUGUCAUCUUCAACGAUCCCGAAAACAUUACAGACAUUACUGACACCAUUGUACCUACGCUCCCUUGAGCAAUGUUUUGAACGACUCAGAGUUCCUCACAAAAGGUACUGUACCAAACUCAAUAUCCACCACGGUAUUGAACUUGUCCAGAUGUCUCUUAAUUAGUUCUGCGCUUCCCUACAAUAUGUAUAACUGAGACUUCUCCCGUCCCUCCAGUACAAUCCGGACACCCCUUUGGACCUUCAAGACUCCACUUCUACCAGAGAAAUUAUAUCAUUUUUCAUUCAGGAUACUCAGCGAGAUGAGAUUCCUUUUCAGGUCUAGAACAUGUCGAACAUGAUCAAUUGUUCUAACCAUCCCAUCAUACAACCUUAGGGAUGUCAAUUGGGCCGAGUCGGCUCGUCCAAAAAUGUGAAAAAAAUAAAAUUUUAUCAAUAAAAUUUGAAAAAUUUGCAAAAAAAAUAAAAAAAAAAAUUCACAAGCUUGUGAGCCGCUCGUGGGCGAGAGCAACGAGCCGAGCUUUCGGCUCGACCCACUGCCAUCCCUUUACAACCUUAAUUUGACUCGACCGAUCUAGCAACACGGCAAAACUGAUUGUUUCCCAUCACAAUUCCACCUUACUUGACAACCUAUAUGUCUGAAAGAAAUUACGAUUGAAACACAUAUGAUGCAAACAUGUCGAAUUAAGAAUCCACUCCUCGUCAGGUUUAGACUCUACGUCAAAUACUAUGGUCAACAUCACAUCACCGCCAUAAAAAAAAUCUCGAUAACAUUAGCCUUGUCCGAAUUGAAUGAUUGUUCCCUAUGAUUUGUAGCUAAAUUACCUUUAGCCUACAAUUUGUCACAAUUCUUUUUAACGUGUCCUCUCCUUCUGCAGUAGAAGUAGUACAAAUUACUGAAGUUGACUUUCGAUCUACCCUUUCGUCAAUCACCAUGAGAUAUAAGCUUCAUCAUCCCUCAGUGUAGCUCCAACCAGAUGUUUCAUCAUCUUCUUUGAGAACAGAGCAUCGUAGACAUCCUCAACAGUCAAAGUAUCACAACUGUACAGAAUGGUGUUCUAAAACGACGAAUAAGAGGCGGGCAGGGAACACAAUAGGAUCAAGGCCAGAUCAUCCUCGUUGUAUUCAACCUCCAAUGUCUCUAUCCUGCGACUAUUUUCUUGAACAGGGCAAUGUGGUCUUCCAGUGACCCUCCUUCCAUCAUGCAAUGGGAAUACAGCUUUUACUUUAGAGUUAGUUUGCUAGUGAAACUUUUAGUCAUACAUAACGGCUCCGGUUUCAAUCAUAAAGCAGCCAUUGUUUUCUUCUUCAAGACGUCCUGCAAAAUAUUAUUGGAUAAAUGGAGAUGAAUCUAUGAUAAAGCCUUGCGAUCCCUAUGUUGUUUCUCCUCCACUGUCCAAUUAGCUGGCAUCUUUUCAAAAUCCAACAACGCAUCAUCCAUAUCCAAUUGUACCCAAAUAACCCUCAUCUUUACUUGUCACAGAGAAAAUCUUGUAUUGCAAUAUAACAACGGAAUAUCAUAUUUCAAUAUGGUCAUAUCUAAAAAAUCCCAAUCAAAUUAUGAAGAACCUUCAGCCUAGCUCUGAUAUCAUUUGUUGAUCCCAAAGACGACUUAAGGAUUGAGAUUAAUGACGUUAUAUGAAAUGUGUAACAAGAUCAUAAAAAUGAAAUGAGGUUUAAAUUAAAGAAAUCAAAGAGAGUUAAGCAGAGGAAAUGAUGUUUUAUUAUAACGAUAAUAUGAAGAGAAAAUUACAACACGACAAUUUUAGCUUGAAUUAAACUGAAAGAAGAUACCACUAUUUAUAGGUACAUACCAUAUUAUAAAGAUGGAAAUAAUAUGAAAUAAGGAAAUAAUAUAUUUCCAAUAAAAUCACGUAAAAGUAAAAAUAAGGAAACAAUUUUUUUCCUAAUUUGGGCCAUGAACCCAACAAAAAUUUGUACAAAAUGGAGAGCACACAGAGUAGGAUAAAGUGCUAAACCUGCUCAAGCAUAGAGUAUUGAGCAUUUAAGCCUUGUAUUUCAGCCUGCAAGAAAAGAUAUUAACAACAACAUAAGCAAGUAGUUGGUGAAAAUGAAAUAUAUUACAUUAGAAAUGUAGAAAAGAGUACAAGAAAUUCAAACUCUUGAGUUACAUUUCUAAUUUAAUAUACUAUAAGAGAGCCCUAUCAGGUUUGAUGAUGUUCUCCUUAAAUCCUUCAUUUUUUGUUUCUGCUCGUAAAAUUGUUUCCCUGCACUUCCAAUUUUAAAAAUUUGUGCACGAGCUAAUAGCCUUGCAAUCCUUUCUCAGUGGGCAGCUAUGGCUACCCGUGCACGAACAAUCUCAUAAACUUUUGCUAAAAUAUAUUGAAGCUUAACAACAAUUUUGAGGAGAAUGGACCAGAAUUGGCAACUGGUUGUAUACAGCAUAACAUGAUCAAUUAAUUAUUAUUUAUCACUCUGGAGAAUAAUCUGAUUAUUAUUUCAAGGCCCAAAAGAAAUUUAAAUAUUUUGGCAUUGAAUGCACCAGGGGGGAUAUCUGAGAAACUCAGUUUUAUAAAAUUAUCCUAAUUAUUUAGAAAUCAUAUUAUCUACAGUAUCUACUUUAUUUCUAUCUGAAGGUAUUUUCAUAUCAUACUUUGGCUACUUAAACCACUUCUUGAAAUUAUGUGAAAAAGUAAAAAUGUAGGGAUUUAUGACAAAUCCUCCACGGUAAGAAUAACUGUUUGAUAUCAGUUGAAUAUUUAAAGUAACUUAAAACAAUCUAAGUCCAUGUUUGCCUCCAUAUUUUAAAACUCAUUUCCAAUGUUUUAUGAAAACUACAAUUUUUAUUAUCUUUUCAAUUACAUAUUUUAUCAAUUUUUAUCAAAAUCUACUAAAUAUUUAACUAAACCAAAUAGGGACUAAGAUUCAUAAUUAAAAGAGUCAAAAUAUACGAGAUCACUCAGUCCGAAGUGGCCAAACACAUGAAAGGCAAGGCACAGCCUGUCACAGGCCGUGCCAUGUGCCAACUCACCUCUAUUAUCCGACUUUGUAGUAAAGAUCCGCAACAAUAUGAACUACUAUUAUAAAAAAAUAUAGAAUGUUAAAUUCUCGUCCACACAAAAAAUAUUAAGUUUAUAAUGCGAAGAUUUUAGACCUGUCCACCCACCUAUAAAAAUGAGCUCGUGGUCAAGGGCCGCCACAGAAUUUGGUCGUGGUCGUGCCCAUUUAUUGGGAUCGAGUGUGCACCUCAAUUUAUAGAAUAUCAAAUAUGUACUCAGCUAUAAAUAACCAAUUUCUUAAAAGUUUACGAAUUUUCUGCCAUGAUAGGACCGCACGGAGAGAAAAAGAAAAUGGAGAAAAACAGAAUGGAAGCUUCCUCUUCGUGUCCUCUAGCCACUGUAGAAGAAAUUAAAAAACGCCUCAUUCGACCUCCAAAUUCUCAACGGCAAUAUUAAUAUUUGUUAAAAUUAUUUAUGUGCAAAUGUGCAAUCAUAUAUAACUUUUAGCUUUGCAGUUAGAUAAUUUUGAAUUUUUAUUUUUUUCUGUUUUUCAUCAGGCGUGAUAGGAUUAGCCAGAGCUCAUCACAAUUGAAUGUGAGUUCGCUGAAAAUUCAAGAAAUUAAAUUGAUGAGAGAAAUAUCAACCAAGAAGCUCGAGGAUUAUCUAGAUCCCGUAGUUCUCUCUGCAGUUCGUGUGAAAAUUGGAGGCAAAAGAAAAUUCGAUGAAGAGAAGAAAAUUAAGAGCGGAAAUUCGAACGAGUUUGAACAAUUUGAGAAGUGGUCUAAAGAGGAAAAAUUACCGAAAUCUGAGCAGAAUGAAGCCGUUGAUCUGCAAAACGAUAGCGAUUGGGUUGGGGAUUCUGAUGGAGAUGAAGGAAUUUUCUGCAAUCCAUUUCUGCAAUUUGAGAAAACGGCGUUGAAGCGGUUCAACCGUCAAGGAGUGAAGGAUAAGCAACGUGGGUGCGUAGGACAAGUUCCCGAUAGGAGUGAACUGUGAAGUAGUAACAGAAAUUUGACAAUUUUGAUGGUAAAUUGAAGGGAAAUAUAUGUUGAAGAACUAAUUGCUGUAGAAUUACAAAAUUGACG